rnacentral:rRNA from 1 species
CUUGCAAACUGGAGAUGGCGACCGGCGCACGGGUGAGUAACACGUAUCCAACCUGCCGGUAACUCGGGGAUAGCCUUUCGAAAGAAAGAUUAAUACCCGAUGGCAUAAUAGAACCGCAUGGUUUGAUUAUUAAAGAAUUUCGGUUAUCGAUGGGGAUGCGUUCCAUUAGGCAGUUGGUGGGGUAACGGCCCACCAAACCUUCGAUGGAUAGGGGUUCUGAGAGGAAGGUCCCCCACAUUGGAACUGAGACACGGUCCAAACUCCUACGGGAGGCAGCAUG